AGUGAACGCUGGCGGUAGGCCUAACACAUGCAAGUCGAACGGCAGCACAAUAAGAGUUUGCUCUUACGGGUGGCGAGUGGCGGACGGGUGAGGAAUACAUCGGAAUCUACUUAUUCGUGGGGGACAACGUAGGGAAACUUACGCUAAUACCGAAUACGACCUACGGGUGAAAGCAGUGGAUCUACGGACCUUGCGCGACUGAAUGAGCCGAUGUCGGAUUAGCUAGUUGGCGGGGUAAAGGCACACCAAGGCGACGAUCCGUAGCUGGUCUGAGAGGAUGAUCCGCCACACUGGAACUUAGACACGGUCCAGACUCCUACGGGAGGCAGCAGUGGGGAAUAUUGCACAAUGGGCGCAAGCCUGAUCCAGCCAUACCGCGUGAGUGAAGAAGGCCUUCGGGUUGUAAAACCCUUUUGUUAGGAAAGAAAAGCAGUAGGAGUAUACCCCGCUGUUCUGACGGUACCCAAAGAAUAAGCACCGGCUAACUUCGUG
rnacentral:rRNA from 1 species